AUUGAACGCUGGCGGCAGGCUUAACACAUGCAAGUCGAGCGGGGAAAGGUAGCUUGCUACCUGACCUAGCGGCGGACGGGUGAGUAAUGCUUAGGAAUCUGCCUAUUAGUGGGGGACAACAUCUCGAAAGGGAUGCUAAUACCGCAUACGUCCUACGGGAGAAAGCAGGGGACCUUCGGGCCUUGCGCUAAUAGAUGAGCCUAAGUCGGAUUAGCUAGUUGGGGGGGUAAAGGCCUACCAAGGCGACGAUCUGUAGCGGGUCUGAGAGGAUGAUCCGCCACACUGGGACUGAGACACGGCCCAGACUCCUACGGGAGGCAGCAGUGGGGAAUAUUGGACAAUGGGGGGAACCCCGAUCCAGCCAUGCCGCGUGUGUGAAGAAGGCCUUUUGGUUGUAAAGCACUUUAAGCGAGGAGGAGGCUACCGAGAUUAAUACUCUUGGAUAGUGGACGUUACUCGCAGAAUAAGCACCGGCUAACUCUGUGCCAGCAGCCGCCGUAAGAC
rnacentral:rRNA from 1 species